CACCAAUAUCGCUAAGCCUGACCAUCGCAUACAGUUUCUUAUCAUAAGUUGAGUAUCGUUGUUUGGCCUCAUUUAACUUCUCACUGAAGUAGGCAACAGGGUGACGAUCCUGAUUCAAGACUCGGCCUAUACCUACCCCAGAGGCAUCACAUUCAACCUCAAAAACUUUGGAAAAUUCGGGAAUACGCAUGAUAGGAGCCUUCUUCAUUCGCUUCUUGACCAACUUAAAGGCAUUAGCCGCUUCUUGUGACCAAUGAAACUCCCCUUUCUUCAUGCACUCCGUAAUAGGCUCCAUAAUAGUGCUAAACCCCUUGAUAAAAUGACGGUAAAAUAUAGCUAAGUCGUGAGAACUUCUGACAUCAUGAGUAGUCUUAGGUUCAGGCGAGUCAACAAUCGCCUAAAAUUUAGCAGGAUCAGCACAUACCCAUGUUAGAGAGACAAUAAACCCUAGGAAAACGACUGUAUUGGUGAAGAAAGAGCACGGUAGAGCAAACUUGUGUAAAAUGGUCACAGUGUUUCUCCUUAGUCUUACUAUAGAUAAGAAUAUCAUCAAAGUAGACAACAAGAAACUUACCCAUGAAAGGUCGAAGAGUGUGUGUCAUUACCGCAUAAAGGUACUCGGCAUGUUGCUUAACCUAAAAGGCAUGACUAGCCAUUCAUAAAGACUAUUUUUCGUUUUAGAAGCGGUCUUCCACUCAUCACCUGAGUGAAUUCUAAUCCGAUGGUAUCCACUCUUCAGAUCAAUUUUCAAAAAGAUUGUAGCACCAACCAUCAUAUCUAGCAUAUCGUCAAGUCUAGGAAUGGAAAAAGAUACUUCACUGUGAUCCUAUUGAUAGCGCGACUAUCCAUACACAUUCUCCAAAAACCAUCAUUUUUAGGUGUCAAUAGGGCAGGUACAGUGCACGGGCUUAAACUCUCACCAAUGAAUCCUCUGUGAAUGAGGUCAUCCACUUACCUCUGGAGUUCAGCUUGCUUGUUAAAAUUCAUCCUAUAAUGAGGUAAAUUUGGAAGGGAUGCCCCUGGGACGAAACCUAUGGCAUGUUGAAUGUCCCAUAGAGGAGGUAGAUGAUAAGGUACGUCCUCCGGAAAGACAUCCCGAAACUCUUGAAGGAACGACUGAACUUCAGCAGGGCUCUCUAUUGUGAAGUUAGAUGAAACCUCCAUGACUACUAAAGCGAACACAAUUGAGUCACCAACAAGUGUACGCUCAAACUCCAUAGGACUAAGGAUAUGCAAUCACUUUCGUUCCACCCUCUUCUUUGUUUCCUGUGAGGAGCCAACAGGCUUUGGGGGCAGUGGGUUAAGGUGAAUCUUCUUUCCAUUAAACCCGAAAGAGCAGGAAUUGGAUGGACCAUAAAUGGAUACAUCCAAGUCAAAUAUCCAAGGUCGUCCCAAGAUGAUGUGCCCGAUAUCCAUUGAAAUGACGUCACACCAUAUAUGGUCCUUAUACUUGGGGAACUGGAUAGGGACUAAAUAACGCUUCUUAACAGCUAUAGAAGAAGUACCAACCCAAGAGACGUUAUACGGCUGAGGGUGAGGAACUGGCUUCAACCCUAGAUGGGAUACAGUAGCCAUCGAAAUCGCAUUAAUGCAACUGCCACUAUCCACGAUAACUUUACAGCCCUUGUUGUUGAUGUUGAUGUAAGUGUGAAAGAUGCCAUGACCACGCCAAUCAUCGGCAUCCCCAGGCUGGGUAAGAGUGCAACGGACGACACCAACUCUAGGCGUAUGUGGGAUAAGGGAACUAGCCUGAAUACAACCUAAGAAGGUAUCUUUACUAUUCUUCAAGUUAUUAAACUCUUCCUACUUAGGUUCAUAAACCUGGUCCUCUAAUGGCUCGUCAACUAUACCUUCACGCUCUUCCAUAACUAGGGCUCGGCUAGGAUACUUAGAAGAAAUGUGACCAAAACCCUUACAGUUGAAGCAUUGCAAACGGGAGGACGCCCUUGAAACCUUAGAACCUCUACCUCUACUAUCCGAUGCAGGUGUAGCAUUAGAAGGAGGAGGCUCUAGAAUAGACUUGGGGAUGGAGUGGAUGCAGAAGAGGGUGCAGUGCGAGUGUCACUACGAGUUCUAUACGGUGUCCUAGUUACUAACUUGUAAUCCCGAACGAAAGAGUAGGCAUGGUCAAGAGUGGUGACGCCUCUAAGGACAAUCUCGUACCUAAGAUCAUCUCUUAGGCCUUGCCUAAACCUACUCAAGGUCAUGAUCUCAUCCUCAACGACCUGACAUCUCAUUCGAAACUCAUCAAACUGAGCAAUGUAUUCGAUCACAGGUCGAUUGCCUUACAUAAAUGCGUUCCAUUGAUCCGGCAAGUUACCCCUAUAAGAUUGAGGUAAAUAUUUUUCUUGAAGGCGACGUUUAAUUUCAUCCUAGCUCCUAACAGGGGGAGCAUGACGCCUUUUCAGGAGGUCCUCAACACUUUCUUAAAAGAGUUGAGCAGUCCCAGUUAAUUUCAAACUGGCAAAUUGUACCCUCCGAUCUUCCAGGACCCCAUACCAGGCAAAGAAGCGAUCCAUAUCUCUAACCCAUUGAUUGAACACACUAGGAUCUAUACAACUAUCAAAUGUAGGGGCAUCUAACUUAAUGUUUCAAAAGAGGCGCUCCUCGUGGCGAAGGGAAGAUUGUGUACCAUGACGGUGAUAUUCUCGCUCUCGUCCAUGAGCUUGAUUUCCUUCCCUACGAUCAUGUUUGGCGUGGUGUCGACCACCUUGUGGACGACGAUGAGGUCUAUGAAUGGAAGCUUCAGAGUUUUCAGCUUCAGUCGAAUAUGGGGUUGGAUCAAGAGUGUUCAACCUAGUGGCUAGGGCUCUAUUCUCCUCACAAGUAGCGGUUACCUUUAUUUGGACAGCUGUUAAUUGAUUUUGUAAUUGUGCCAACUGUUGGGUGAGGGCCUCAUCCCAUCCAUGGCAACGGUACUAGAGCUAGAGGUAGUCACACGACCACUACGCAAAUGCAUACAAAGUAACGCUAGCUAAGUGAAGCGCACUACUGGGAUCAAUAAACAAUGGGUACCAACGGUGAAAUAGCAAUUUUUUUUUAUUUUUAGUUACUUAAAAGAUGGGAUUAUGCAGGCCCGAACGUGCAAGCUAAUAAUACUAGUGCAAAUAAAAUAGAAAGCAAGGAUACAAAUGGCUAUUCGAAAGGUUUAAUCACGUGGGGGUAAUCGAGGAACAAUGGAUGUUAACUCACAAAUCCUGAUCAAGUGGAUUUUUAAGGUUACAAUUAUCAAAUAACAGUAACACAAAAAAUAUAAAUGAUGCAAUCUUGAGAUGAAGUAGUGUAAACUAAAAAUAAAUAGAGGUUAAGGACUCCCUGUCGUUUAGUUGCUCGAGUUGCUGACACGUGGGCUCUGGAUAUAAUUGCGUCCUUUCCUUCGCUUCAGGUGGUUUUCUGUGAAUAUGAGAGACUGUCGUUCUAGUUCUGCUAGUGGUGUAUGUAGAAACUGUCCCUCUGUUGUGGUAUUUUCGGUGGCAGGUGGCGGUGGAGAUGACUGUGACUUCUAUCCUGAGUGUGGAAGUGAAGGUGAUGCAACAAGGAAACAAUUAAAAGUCUAUUCAAGGCGAAAGACUAAUAAUCAGCAGAAUUCUAGUAUAUCUAAAUUAUAAUAGUUUUAUUUUGACAAUGUUAUCUUUUAUUUUCAAGUUUCUUUAGAUAAAAAGUUUAUUUAAUUUCAAAGUCCUUCUCUAUAUAAAGGGGCUUAGGGCAAUGUUUAGAAACACUUACAUUAUAUGAAUAAGAUUAUUUCUUUUGCCCUCAAUUCUUCCCUGUGAUUCCCCUUUCUUCUUAUUAUUCUUUAUCAAUUUGUGUGUUCCUGCAUCAAUUUGGUAUCAGAGCAAGCUCGUUUCCUUUGGCCACAAAAUUAUCCACAAUCCUUGACCUCGUUUCCAUCUACCUUCAUAUACAGCCACCCCUCCACCGCCCAUUCAACACUAAUAACCACCAUUACAUACGGCAGCCUUUGAACAGCACAAAACGAAAGAGGAAGAGCAUUUAUCGCAGCAGCAGUUUUAAGUUUUCCUUUUAGUUCUUUGUCCUUACUUUCAAAAAAAAAAAAAAAAAUCCAAAAAAAAAAAAGUGGAACUGUUCACCGGUCAGUAGUAGUUGCAUUAGAUAUUCUGAAAAAAAAGAGUAUAAUUUAUUGUCGAUUAUUCCUCAUAUUGCUGCUUCAUAUGUCACAACUGUUGCUGUUCAACCAAAGGCACCCUAUAUUACCUAGCCAUCGCUAAUUUCCCCAAGCCCAAACCUUAAUCUGUCAUACCAACCCAAUUUGUCAAAAUCUAGCAGCCCAAUUAAACCCAUAUCUAAAUUACCCUAGCCCAACCCAUUAACCAAUUAUUAUCUCCUUACUUCCCCCGACAAAUUGAAUCCAAGACUCCAAGACAAUCUCACCGUCAGCCGCUCACACCGCCGCCUGCAAAGCUACAAGUUCUUAUAACUCUAACCCCGUUUCGGUCGUCGGCUAACAUCACUGUUGGUUUCUCCAUUUUUCGCCGCUACCAAAGCACUCCCCCAGUCUACCACUAUCAUCUAUUUCCUAAACAUCCAUAACCACCACCACCUCGUCGGACAGGGAAGAUUAUCACACCACUAAAGUCAUCGUUUUCCCCUCUCAACUCCAUAAACUGCCUCCUGCCACUUUGUGCCAACCACUUCGGCUCAAACCCACCGGUGCUCCACCACUCAAAUUCGGAAUCUCCGCCGCUACUGUCACGGUCAAGUCCUCCACGCGUUCGGUCGCCAUUAUCGCCACAGAGGUACAACAAUUUCAUUUUCAUCUCCGUCACUCCACUGCCGCUUGAAGCCUUUCGCAACUGUUACUGGCCCAGUUUGGUCACUGCUCUUGCUAUCACCAUCUCCGUCCCACCACUGCUGCAGCGAGUCCUGCCGUCUUGUGAAAAGCCUGUGGCCGGUUCUUCCCUUGUGUUUUGGUGAGGAUUUCCUUCUGCUUUUAUUGGAACUUUGCUAUUAUUCAAGUACUUUGCCUUUUACGUAGUGCUGCAUUUGUUCCAAGUUAAAAAAAAAAAAAAAAAAAAAAAAAAAACUUUUUCUCAAAUCAAUACAAAUGAAUUUCAAAGAUUUAGAACACUCACACGAAGUAUUAUCUCAGCAAGUUGCCAAUCUUUCAACUGAUUUAGCGUCUAUGAAGGCUGAUUUUGCUGAACUUAAAGAUUUUAUCAUUGAGUUACGUCGAAAUCCUGAAAAACGCCUCGUAGAUAAUUUUUCUGAAUCCUCGACCAUAGGUCAGAACAUUCAUAACACUGCUCAACAGGCUCUUAUCAUUCCACCUAGAGGGGAAUCCCCUACGAUACAACAUCCUAUUCACAACGCACACACCCCCGAAUAUCUGGAACCUGGUGUCCAAUAUAAUACUCGCCCUGAACCCCGCCCCCCACAUUUUGAUCGACAUAGGGACCUUGCUGAUGAUAUGUCUAGAAACAUUAAAGUAGAUGCUCCCGAAUUUGAUGGCCGUCUAGACCCUGAAGCCUUUUAAGAUUGGCUGGACUCCAUUGAAGUAUACUUCGAUUGGUAUCGCAUGCUGGAUUAUCAGCGGCUUCGCUUCGCCAAAAUGAAACUCACCAAAUCUGCUAAACGCUAUUGGCGAAACUUGACACGAAACCUCGAACAUUUAGGACAACCUAUCACCCUAUGGGCGGAAAUGAAAACAAAACUGAAAGAAAAGUAUGUCCCACCAUUCCAUCGAUCUCAGCUUCUAGAGCGUUUGCUUAACCAUAGACAAAACUCCUCGACCGUGUCUGACUAUAGAUCUCGUUUUGAUGAGUUGCUCCAUCGUUCCAGUCUUUAUGAACCCGAGGAUGUCACUGUUACUCGAUUUCUUAAUGGCGUAAGGCCCGACCUCAAACACCACGUCACCGUGCUCAGUCCCUUUUCCCUAGAGGACGCCUAUCACAAAGCCCUCGAGUAUGAGAGGUACUCUCGAGCACCAUACACUCGAAGGGGCCUUUCGAACUUUGUGGACCCUCGCCAACCCCAUCCUAACCCAUCCUCCACUCAUGGUAGUAUUCCAGCAUCAACUCAGUCUCGCACAGUUGUCGGGUCUUCGUCAUCAUCACCUUCACUUUCCCAGGAUAUCAAUAAGAAUCAACCUUCUUUUGCUUCUUUCCGUAUCGCUAACCCGUCAAUCGUGUGUCAUCAUUGUCAGAAUCGAGGUCAUAUAGCAUCUCGAUGCCCUCAUCGUACCCUUACUGUUAAUCAAGAACCCCUACUUCCAACACCAGAAAUCGAUGAAUGUUUUACAGUCGAUCCUAUUGACCAUUCUGAUGAGGACCUCGAACAACUUUAGUGUCACGUGGAGGAUAAGGCUGUUGUCUCGAGCAUGAGAUGCAUCCUCUCCACCCCUAUUGACUCUGAUUCUUGGAAAAGGACAUCAAUAUUCUACACGUACAUACCGUGUAACUCUCGUUCUUGCAAAUUAGUAAUUGACGGGGGAAGUACCAUGAACGUCGUUUCCACCUCAGCGGUAACCAAAUUCGACUUCAAGCCCGAACCCCAUCCUCACCCUUUUAAGGUGGCAUGGGUCGAUAGGACUUCUUUGCCUAUCACUCGUCGUUGUCUUGUAUCCCUUACAUUUGGCCCAUACUCAGAAGACCUUUACUGUGACAUUCUACCUAUGGAUGUUGCUCACGUUCUUUUGGGUCGCCCUUGGCUCUACGAUUAUGAUGUUAAGCACUUCGGGCGUGAUAACACUUGUGAGUUUGUCCAUAAUGGCAAACCCAUUCGGCUUCUUCCAGCCAAACCAUCUGACCCCCCAAAGAGACCACUGCCUAAAACAACACCCACUUGUGCUACAAGUACAAAGAACCGAAUUCAGGUCUUGUCCCAUAAGGCAUUCGAGCUUGAGGCGCACGACACCGGGUUGAUGUUUGCGUUAGUUACCAAAGCAUGUUCCCAACCUACUACUGAAGCAAACUCUGAUCACCUCCUUGUUACCACUCCGUUGUUAGAGGAGUUUAGCGAUGUCAUGCCAGAUGACGUACCUGAUGAACUCCCUCCCAUUCGUGAUAUUCAACAUGCAAUUGACUUGGUCCCGGGAUCACAAUUACCAAAUUGCCCUCACUAUAGGAUGAAUCCUGCGGAACGGGUCGAGCUAAAUAAACAGGUUGAGGCAUUACUAUCUAAAGGUUUUAUUCGUCAUAGCCUUAGUCCUUGUGUAGUCCCC
rnacentral:lncRNA from 1 species